CCUACGGGUGGCUGCAGUGGGGAAUAUUGGACAAUGGGGGGAACCCUGAUCCAGCCAUGCCGCGUGUGUGAAGAAGGCCCUCGGGUUGUAAAGCACUUUCAGUGAGGAAGAACGCCUGGUGGUUAAUACCCAUCAGGAAAGACAUCACUCACAGAAGAAGCACCGGCUAACUCCGUGCCAGCAGCCGCGGUAAUACGGAGGGUGCGAGCGUUAAUCGGAAUUACUGGGCGUAAAGCGCGCGUAGGUGGCUUGAUAAGCCGGUUGUGAAAGCCCCGGGCUCAACCUGGGAACGGCAUCCGGAACUGUCCAGCUAGAGUGCAGGAGAGGAAGGUAGAAUUCCCGGUGUAGCGGUGAAAUGCGUAGAGAUCGGGAGGAAUACCAGUGGCGAAGGCGGCCUUCUGGACUGACACUGACACUGAGGUGCGAAAGCGUGGGUAGCAAACAGGAUUAGAUACCCCGGUAGUC
rnacentral:rRNA from 1 species